CCUACGGGAGGCAGCAGUAAGGAAUAUUGGACAAUGGGCGCAAGCCUGAUCCAGCCAUUCCGCGUGUAGGAUGACGGCCCUCUGGGUUGUAAACUACUUUUAUUUGGGAAGAAACCCUGGGAUUUAUCCCGGGCUGACGGUACCAAAAGAAUAAGCACCGGCUAAUUCCGUGCCAGCAGCCGCGGUAAUACGGAAGGUGCAAGCGUUAUCCGGAAUCACUGGGUUUAAAGGGUGCGUAGGCGGUUGCGUAAGUCAGAAGUGAAAGCUCACAGCUUAACUGUGGAAUUGCUUUUGAUACUGCGCGACUAGAAUCAGGUUGAGGUUGGCGGAAUGUGACAUGUAGCGGUGAAAUGCAUAGAUAUGUCACAGAACACCAAUUGCGAAGGCAGCUGACUGGACCUGCAUUGACGCUGAGGCACGAAAGCGUGGGGAGCGAACAGGAUUAGAUACCCUGGUAGUCCACGCCCUAAACGAUGCUUACUCGAUGUGUGAAAUAUUGCGCAUCCAAGGGAAACCGUUAAGUAAGCCACCUGGGGAGUACGUUCGCAAGAAUGAAACUCAAAGGAAUGACGG
rnacentral:rRNA from 1 species